rnacentral:Y_RNA from 1 species
GGCUGGUCUGAAGGUAGUGAGUUAUUCCAAUUGAUUUUUCACAGUUACAGAUUGAACUCCUUGUUCUACUCAUUUUUCCCCUUCUCACUACUGCACUUGACUAGUCCAAA